rnacentral:rRNA from 1 species
GACAGAGGUGGCAAGCGUUGUUCGGAAUUACUGGGCUUAAAGGGCGAGUAGGCGGUGAGACAAGUCUGAGGUGGAAUCCUCUGGCUUAACCAGAGAAUUGCCUUGGAUACUGUUUCACUUGAGUCAGUAAGGGGAGGGCAGAAUUCCCGGUGUAGCGGUGAAAUGCGUAGAUAUCGGGAGGAAGGCCAGUAGCGAAGGCGGCCCUCUGGUGCUGAACUGACGCUGAGGCGCGAAAGCGUGGGGAGCAAACAGG